UUAACAAAAGUCACAAAACUGUCACUUUUAUUCUCCGGUAAUUCUACAAAAAUUUUAAAAUGUCCGACUCAAGUGUUUUUGACUCUUCUUCCGCUGGAGAUUUUUCCGAUAACUUAGAGAAAAUCAAAAGCGAAAUAUAUGAAACGAAAUCCUUCGAUAUGUCCAAGUUACAACAAUUUCCUCCGGAGACGCUAGAACGAACUCUCGUGGAAUGGAGAGACGAGCAAUUGCAAAAAGUCGAAGAAGAAUUGCACCUGUUACUUGUUAUUGAAGACAUGAUGAGGUCUUCGGAGGUUGAAAAUUUCGACGGAUACACCGACGAGAAAAAAUUCGGACAAAUAAUAAAGCAAGUGCGGAAUAUAAAUUAAGGUAUUGUUCUCAUGUACUGUGAAAAUUAACAGUGAUAUAUAAAUUUUUUUUAAUUUU